AGUGAACGCUGGCGGUAGGCCUAACACAUGCAAGUCGAACGGCAGCACAGUAAGCGCUUGCUCUUACGGGUGGCGAGUGGCGGACGGGUGAGGAAUACAUCGGAAUCUACUUUUUCGGGGGGGAUAACGUAGGGAAACUUACGCUAAUACCGCAUACGACCUACGGGUUAAAGCAGGGGAUCUUCGCACCUUUCGCGUCUGAAUUAGCUGAUGUCGGAUUAGCUAGUUGGCGGGGUAAAGGCCCACCAAGGCGACGAUACGUAGCUGGUCUGAGAGGAUGAUCGGCCACACUGGAACUGAGACACGGUCCAGACUCCUACGGGAGGCAGCAGUGGGGAAUAUUGGACAAUGGGCGCAAGCCUGAUCCAGCCAUACCGCGUGGGUGAAGAAGGCCUUCGGGUUGUAAAGCCCUUUUGUUGGGAAAGAAAAGCAGCGGGUUAAUACCCCGCUGUUCUGACGGUACCCAAAGAAUAAGCACCGGCUAACUUCGUG
rnacentral:rRNA from 1 species